UACAGAGGUCUCAAGCGUUGUUCGGAUUCAUUGGGCGUAAAGGGUGCGUAGGCGGCGCGGUAAGUCGGAUGUGAAAUCCCGGGGCUUAACCCCGGAACUGCAUUCGAUACUGCCUUGCUCGAGUACUGGAGAGGAGACUGGAAUUUACGGUGUAGCAGUGAAAUGCGUAGAUAUCGUAAGGAAGACCAGUGGCGAAGGCGAGUCUCUGGACAGUUACUGACGCUGAGGCACGAAGGCGAGGGGAGCAAACGGG
rnacentral:rRNA from 1 species